UACGUAGGGCGCAAGCGUUGUCCGGAAUUAUUGGGCGUAAAGAGCUCGUAGGCGGCCUGUUACGUCUGCUGUGAAAUCCCGGGGCUUAACCCCGGGCGUGCAGUGGAUACGGGCAGGCUGGAGGCAGGCAGGGGAGAACGGAAUUCCCGGUGUAGCGGUGAAAUGCGUAGAGAUGCGGAGGAACACCGAUGGCGAAGGCAGCCCCCUGGGCUGACACUGACGCUCAGGCACGAAAGCGUGGGGAGCGAACAGG
rnacentral:rRNA from 1 species